UUGGGGUUAUCGUGGUCACGGACAUCAUCAUCAUCAUGAACAUGAUCGUGAUCAUUGCUAAGUUUCUUCAUAAUCCAAGAAGGUUCUGAGACUGCAAGGCAACAUUUUCAAAAUUGAAAAAAAUUAUUGAGUUGUAUCCAUGGCUUGUAAUCUCAUUGAAGAAAUUUACUGUAAAACAAUUGGAAAUAAAAAUUUUUUUUUU